rnacentral:piRNA from 1 species
CUGGAUAUGAGCAGCUGGGCAGAGGU